rnacentral:misc_RNA from 1 species
GUCAAAGUUGAAAUUAAACAACAAAAAGAGGGACUUAUUGCAAAACAAAUCGAAAGCGGUUAGGCAGGAAGCUUAGAAGCUUCGAGAUCAGCAGCUUGCUUAAUCAAACUCUGUUCACUAUCAUCAAGCGCCAUUUGAAUCGGCGAUGAACCAAGUCCAUCAGCGAUCGCCUGCAUAAUUUUCCUCAUCUCGUUCCCAAAUUCCUCUCGGUCGACAGUGCCGUUGUGGUCGCAAUCGAACUUCUCGAAAAUGGAAUCGUAGAGGUCGGUGAGUUCCUCCGGCGUGGCGGCGACGUCGACGCCGAAGUGAGAUUCAAUGAGAUGGAGAGAUUCGAAGGCUUUGCGGAGCUCGGAUCGUGACAAAACGCCGUCGUUAUUGAGGUCCAAAUCGGUAAAUCCCUUAUCAAUUGACUUUGUGAAAGCCGCUUCGUCGUUGACGAAAUCUCGAAUUGUUGAUCCGUCGAUAAUCACCACUCCCAUUUUUGUUUAAUUUUUUGAACUGUUUGAGAAAUUGUUUCUUAUGAUUAUGUGGUACUGAUGCAAG